rnacentral:rRNA from 1 species
CACGUAGUUAGCCGUGGCUUUCUCAUAAGGUACCGUCAAUUGAUAGUCAUUUCCUCCUAUCACCUUUCUUCCCUUAUAACAGAAUUUUACAACCCGAAGGCCUUCUUCAUUCACGCGGCGUUGCUCGGUCAGGCUUUCGCCCAUUGCCGAAGAUUCCCUACUGCUGCCUCCCGUAGGAGUCUGGGCCGUGUCUCAGCCCCAGUGUGGCCGUUCACCCUCUCAGGUCGGCUACGCAUCGUCGCCUUGGUAGGCCUUUACCCCACCAACUAGCUAAUGCGCCGCAGGCUCAUCCAUCAGUGAUGCCAGGAGCAUCUUUAAACUUUCGUCCUAUCCGGUAUUAGCGAUCGUUUCCAAUCGUUGUCCCCGUCUGAUGGGCAGAUCACCUACGUGUUACUCACCCGUUCGCCGCUUCCCACCGAAGUGGUUCGCUCGACUUGCAUGUAUUAGGCACGCCGCCAGCGUUCAUCCUGAGCCAGGAUCAAACUCU